AUUGAACGCUGGCGGUAGGCCUAACACAUGCAAGUCGAACGAGUGGCGGACGGGAGAGUAAUGUCUGUGAAACUGCCUGAUGGAGGGGGAUAACUACUGGACACGGUAGCUAAUACCGCAUACCAUCGGAUGGGACUCGAUGGGAUUAGCUAGUAUGUGGGGUAAAGGCUCACAUAGGCGACGAUCCCUAGCUGGUCUGAGAGGAUGACCAGACACACUGGCACUGAGACACGGGCCAGACUCCUACGGGAGGCAGCAGUGGGGAAUAUUGCACAAUGGGCGCAAGCCUGAUGCAGCCAUGCCGCGUGGAUGAAGAAGGCCUUCGGGUUGUAAAGUACUUUCAGCGGGGAGGCGUUACCCGCAGAAGAAGCACCGGCUAACUCCGUGCCAGCAGCCGCGGUAAUAC
rnacentral:rRNA from 1 species